GCGAAAUGAAAGUAAAAUAGGUGGGAAUUGCUGUAUUCGCGAGAAUGGGCAAGGCACCAUCGGCCGAUCAUGAUCUUCGGUGAAAGAUUUGAGUUGAAGCAUAUAUGUCGGGACCCGAAAGAUGGUGAUCUAUGCUUGCGUAGAAUGAAGGCAGGGGAAACCCUGGUGGAAGUUCGCAAACGGUUCUGACGUGCAAAUCGAUCGUGAGACGUGGGUAUAGGGGCGAAAGACUCAUCGAACCAUCUAGUAGCUGGUUCCC
rnacentral:rRNA from 1 species